rnacentral:rRNA from 1 species
GAUGAACGCUGGCGGCGUGCCUAAUACAUGCAAGUCGAGCGAACAGACCAGGAGCUUGCUCCUCUGACGUUAGCGGCGGACGGGUGAGUAACACGUGGAUAACCUACCUAUAAGACUGGGAUAACUUCGGGAAACCGGAGCUAAUACCGGAUAAUCUAUUGAACCGCAUGGUUCAAUAGUGAAAGACGGUUUUGCUGUCACUUAUAGAUGGAUACGCGCCGGCUUAGCUAGUUGGUGAGGUAACGGCUUACCAAGGCAACGAUGCGGAGCCGACCUGGGAGGGUGAGCGGCCACACUGGAACUGAGACACGGUCCAGACUCCUACGGGAGGCAGCAGUAGGGAAUCUUCCGCAAGGGGCGUAAGCCUGACGGAGCAACGCCGCGUGAGUGAUGAAGGUCUUCGGAUCGUAAAACUCUGUUAUUAGGGAAGAACAAAUGUGUAAGUAACUGUGCACGUCUUGACGGUACCUAAUCAGAAAGCCACGGCUAACUACGUG